rnacentral:rRNA from 1 species
UACAUGGGGUGCAAACGUUGCUCGGAAUCAUUGGGCGUAAAGCGCGCGUAGGCGGUUGCUUAAGUCGGAUGUGAAAGCCCUCGGCUUAACUGAGGAAGUGCAUCCGAAACUGAGCAGCUAGAGUACGAAAGAGGGUCGCGGAAUUCCUGGUGUAGCGGUGAAAUGCGCAGAUAUCAGGAAGAACACCCGUGGCGAAGGCGGCUCUCUGGGCCGGAACUGACGCUGAGGAGCGAAAGCGUGGGGAGCAAACAGG